rnacentral:rRNA from 1 species
CCUACGGGUGGCUGCAGUGAGGAAUAUUGGUCAAUGGGCUUACGCCUGAACCAGCCAAGUCGCGUGAGGGAAGACUGCCCUAUGGGUUGUAAACCUCUUUUGUCAGGGAGCAACGCCGGCUACGUGUAGCCGGACUGAGAGUACCUGAAGAAAAAGCAUCGGCUAACUCCGUGCCAGCAGCCGCGGUAAUACGGAGGAUGCGAGCGUUAUCCGGAUUUAUUGGGUUUAAAGGGAGCGUAGGCGGGUUGUUAAGUCAGUUGUGAAAGUUUGCGGCUCAACCGUAAAAUUGCAGUUGAUACUGGCAUCCUUGAGUACAGUAGAGGUAGGCGGAAUUCGUGGUGUAGCGGUGAAAUGCUUAGAUAUCACGAAGAACUCCGAUUGCGAAGGCAGCCUGCUGGACUGUAACUGACGCUGAUGCUCGAAAGUGUGGGUAUCAAACAGGAUUAGAUACCCGAGUAGUC